rnacentral:lncRNA from 1 species
GGAAAACUUUCUUAAAAAGUUCUCUGCUUUGGCAGAGAACUGGGACCUGGGGGUCAGACAGACCCAGAGGCUUGAUUCCUCUUUCUGUGCAGUCUGGGGAAAGUCAUGGGGGCUCAGUGUCCUCGGGGUAAAACAGUACUGUGACCCCUCAGAGUUUCACCGUGGGGACUGAUCCAGAUGAGCCCAGGGUGUAAGAACAGUCAAGCCUGACGCAUCUGUUUUAAUUCUCCUGGCCCCUGGGACUCCUGCAGGUCACAGGAAGAGAAGGUUUCUGCAUGUCCCAAGCAUUUCUGCAAGAGUUCCUUGCUGGCUGUGAGUAAACUGGGCGGGACGCUACCAGAUUUGGUAACCAGUGAUUAAAAAAGCAAGCAGGGAACAUUUAAGCACCUGGGUCAGGUUAAUGGGCCUUUGCUAGCUUUUUCCCUUGAAGGAAAAACCCAUUUAACCUACUAGACGUGGAGCACAGAGACUUCCUUCACCAUGACCACCAGACAGAAGUGUUAACAGUUACCUACCCAGCCAUCACAUCGGCCUGCAACUGCCAGCAAAAUCUCCUGUUCCUAAAGAUCAGGGAAAUUCCAAAUGACUUAGCAUCUCUAAUACAUCAUCAGUCAGGAGCUCCUGGGGCCCUGCUGGCAUCCCCCCACACACUCAUCUUGGAUCCAGCCCAAGAGAGAAGAUGGAGCAGGCAGGCAGUCUGGGCAGAAAAGCACCAGGGCUCAAAGCCCACAGUCAGAGAGGACAUCCCUCAGAAGGAGCUGGUGAGUGACCUAACCAUUCCCCACUCUCUUUCCCAUUAGCCUGUUUGAUUCUCAUGACAGCACCUGUUCCAUGUUCCCUGGCUUUACUUACUAGUAUGAUGCUUGACCCUCCACCGGACAUAAGCUCUGUGUGUAGGGACUCCUGAGCUGUGUCUGUGUCUCUAGCUCCAAGAACAGUGCCUGGCACAUAACAGAGACUCAAGUCAUGCUUGCUGAAUGAAUGGAUGGAUGGAUGGAUGGAUGGAUAGAUGAAAGGAAAUGAAUGAAUGGGAAGCAACAAUUCACAGAGCUGCCCACUCUCUUCUUGAUCUCUGCAGUAAUCCCUGGCUUUGCACAGAGCAUAAGGAAGCUGUUCAGGAGAUUCUCAUUAAAGCUGAAAAAGAGCAGGUGAGAACCUAAGUUCAGAAGCAGGGCUAAGAUACGAGUUAUAAAACAGAGGGAUGCACUAAAUAUCAUGGUUAGAAGCCCCAAGACCUGGCAUCAUAGUGUAGAGACAACUCUACACUAUGCUGAUAUACUAUGCAUCAGCUCUGUGAUGAUGUCCCAGGGCUGGGUUUUUGAAGACCAGAAAUAAUUGCAUAAGGACAGGAAGGGGUGGAAGAGAAGAAAAGAGAGGUAGAAAGGAAGGAAGCCAGGUACUAAGCUAAGAGUGCAGAGAGAGAGGCUGAGAGGAGAUGUGGGAUCCUGUUCAGAAUCUGUAACGUGUCCGUGGGCCCAGAUGCCGCCACAGCCCUAGAAGACAGACACAAACCUCUUUGGUGCCAAGGACAAGAGAAAGA